UGUUCCCUGAGUGACUGUGAUUGUUUCCCUGAGUCUCCCUGUGUGGCUGAAGUAGAACCCGUUCAUCCUCCUGCUUCAACCUCCUGAAGUUAGGCCACUAACUGCAUUAACAUAGGGAGGCUGCCAUUGAAUUUUGACCUCCUCAAAUGUCUAUUGAUAACAGUUGAGUUGUUUGUGUUUGUUUUUGUUUUUCGAGACAGGGUUUCUCUGUGUAGCCUUGGCUGUCCUGGACUCGCUUUGUAGACCAGGCUGGCCUCGAAUUCACAGAGAUUCGCCUGCCUCUGCCUCCCCGAGUGCUGGGAUUACAGCCAUCAUCACACCUGGCUAUUGAUAACAGUUGAAAGAUCCCAUAAUGCUACAGAUGUGAGCCUGCUGAAAUGGCUCAGUAGUUAAGAGCACUGGCUGCUCUUGCUGAGCACCCAGUUCUGGUUCCUGCACCCACAUGGCAGCUCACAACCAUCCAUAAAUUUCAGUUCUAGGGGACUUGAUUUCUUCUGACAUCCAAACGAAUGUGGCAUAGACACACUGUGCUGUCUGGCCUGGUGUCAACUCGACACAAACACUAGAGUUUGCAUUUUGGUCGUGGUGUUUCAGCUGCAAUCAAAACCCGAAAGAAGACACACACAUUCAUGCAAAACAGCCACAAAAUGUUGUGCAUUUCACACACAAAAUCUCAAAAAAUAAAAUUUAGAGGCAACAAUGUUAAGUUGCCCAAUUAUUGUUUCCUUCUGGGUGCUGGAAAUUAAACUCAAGUCCUAUUUACCACUGAGAUGCACCUCCAGUGUUGCUCAGUAAAUUUUCCAUGUGUGUAUAGAGUUGCCUGACCACCAC